UACGUAGGGGGCUAGCGUUGUCCGGAAUCAUUGGGCGUAAAGCGCGUGUAGGCGGCCCGGUAAGUCCGCUGUGAAAGUCCAGGGCUCAACCCUGGGAUGCCGGUGGAUACUGUCGGGCUCGAGUCCGGAAGAGGCGAGUGGAAUUCCUGGUGUAGCGGUGAAAUGCGCAGAUAUCAGGAGGAACACCAAUGGCGAAGGCAGCUCGCUAGGACGGUACUGACGCUGAGACGCGAAAGCGUGGGGAGCGAACAGG
rnacentral:rRNA from 1 species